CCUACGGGAGGCAGCAGUGGGGAAUAUUGGACAAUGGGCGCAAGCCUGAUCCAGCAAUGCCGCGUGAGUGAGGAAGGCCUUCGGGUUGUAAAGCUCUUUCGCACGCGACGAUGAUGACGGUAGCGUGAGAAGAAGCCCCGGCUAACUUCGUGCCAGCAGCCGCGGUAAU
rnacentral:rRNA from 1 species